rnacentral:rRNA from 1 species
UACAGAGACCUCAAGCGUUAUCCGGAAUCAUUGGGCGUAAAGCGUACCGAUAGGUGGUUGUGAAAGUUUUGGGUAAAGCCAGAAGCUUAACUUCUGAGUUUGCUCAAAAUACUGCACGACUAGAGGGGCAAAGAGGUGCUUGGAACGAAUGGUGUAGUAGUGAAAUGCGUUGAUAUCAUUCGGAACACCGAAAGCGAAGGCAGAGCACUGGGUGCCACCUGACACUGCUAGGACGAAAGCGUGGGGAGCGAAUGGG